rnacentral:lncRNA from 7 species
GGCUUUCCUCAGCGCUUCCCGCUACAGCUUGAAGGUGCAGAAGCUGUCACAAGACUGGUUGCCCAACGAAAUGGUUUUUAAUAUGUUACGAAGGCAUAGGAGAGUGUAAGAAAGCAGCACAUGGCUGGCCGAUUUAUCUGAAAAAUUUGCUGCCUCCUGAAAAGACUGUCAGAACUAACAAGACAUUGCUGGUGAAUUGCUGUCCCCAAAGAAGUGAGCAAGGACCUUGCCACUGGGUAGGAUUUCAUGCACAAGCUGCAAUUUUGGUGGUGAGGUGUGGAGAAGCCAAGGGGUUGAUGGAACUUUGGCUCAUGGAUAUACACACACGGCGCUGUACUGGGAAGUGAAAUGUAGCCUUCGAAUAAAUAGAGAAGUCAAAGUCUGGGAUGUUUUCUGUACCAUCUCCUGACUGGUGUUCAUUUCUAGCUGCAGCUAGUCUCUGACAUUUUUUAUGUGUUUACAUUCCAGAGAACACUAACUUACCUGAAGGACUGUAUUCUCUCUAACUCUCUUUUAGCAUCCUGUUCAUGUUCCUGAGUGUGUAAGUAAGUAAUUGAUAUAAUAUUGUUAUGCUUAGACUUCAGGUGUAUUUUGAAGGCUGUCUUCAAAGAAUUGUUGUCAGGGCAUCAUGUGAAUUGUGAAGGGAAGGAGCGCCAUAGCUGACUACCUCCUGUGACCAAUAAAGCUCUGUGCCAUGCUCUU